GCCUGGGUGGCUCAGUCGGUUGAGCGUCCGACUUCGGCUCAGGUCAUGAUCUCACGGUUGGUGGGUUCGAGCCCCACAUCGGGCU
rnacentral:tRNA from 1 species